UGUAAUUAUGCUGUCAUAUCUCCUCCCAGGAAACUAUGAGAACCCUCUCCUUUACCCCCUUAUCAUUAUAAUGCAUGUCUGGGGUUUACCUAUUACACACUGAAAAAAGAAUUAGGAAACCUUUGAAAGAGACAAUCUGAUUUGGAAGAAAUUGAUUUCUCAAAAUGGAUCUGGAAGAGCAAAAGGUCCAAGAAUAACUGAGAAGCAAUUCUGAAAAAGUAGAGCGUGGAACAACUUGCCCUACCAGGUUCCUUUCGAGAGCUGCCUGCAAAACCCACAGGGAGUGAAAACCCCGGAAAGAGGUAGGGAGGAGAGGGCAGAGUGCCGUGGAGAAGGAAGAGAAACUCAGGCUCCCGGCCAGUUCUGUUCCAUACUAUGCAGCAAAACACAAGUGGCCUGAAAGUCACCGUGAAAUGCAAUGCCUUUGAGAAGUUCCGUGGAAAGAAUGAUAUCAUGGCCAACCACUCCCUGCACACCCCCCCCCCCCAACCUUUUUUCCAGUGGGAGUGAGAAAUAAAUAGACUGACACAUUUUCCAGUCAGGGAGCAAUUCUGGACAGCAAGUUUACCUUGGCACAGGCACUCAGGUGGGGCUGUGAGAAACCUUAUCUGUGCUUGCCCAGUAUAUGAGGAGCUCUCAUCUCCCUGGAGCCUUGGCCACCGCGCAGGUGACCGCAGAAGGCAGGUGAGCAUGGUGAACAGCAGGCUGGCCAGAGCCACAGCACAGUCGGAAUGGCCCCGGGAGCGGGCUGUGUUAGGUAAAUAUUGCCUGUAUUUGAUUGACGGGCUCAUUACUGACUUUGUUGGUUGCCAAGAGAAAUGCCAUCCAAUCCACCGGAUUCAACGGUAAAAUUGACGUUCCUUAACUCGAUGAUUCUCAAACUGUAAUGUGCAUAUGGUCACCUGGGGAUCUCGUUAAGUUGCAGCUUCUGAUUCAGCAGGUUGGGGCAGGGUUGAGGAAUCACAUUUCUAACAAGCUGCCGGGCCAGUCUACAGACCACACUGAGAGCUAACAAAGUCUUAGGGUGCAGAUGACUGUGUGCAUUUUACACAGUCGAAAUAGUUACUAUUUAAGGAGCUCCAUCUUGACUCUGUGACAGGUGCUGGACCAGGUGGUUUCUGGCCUCUAGCUCUUGUCCUCUUCGUGCCAGCUCCAUGAGGGAGGUGUUAUUAUCCCCACCCCUCCUUGACAGGCGAGGAAAUAGAGGCUAAGAGAGGUUAAUUCGUGCUAUAUACGUGUCAUUUCCAAGAGAUUUCAUUACCUUCCCUCCCUUCCCAGUGAUCUGAAAUAACCCGAAGACAAAGGAUAAUAAACACCCUGUAGUCGGGCUGGGUGAUUCUGCCCGUGGUGAUUUGCCCUCUUGAUACCCGAGAAUGAGUAAUUCCUUUUGUACAAAAUUGUGAGGGCCAAGCACAGGAGUGCAGGAACCCUAGAAUUAAUAUCUGGCCUAGCAAGUCCUGGCCUCAGUAGAGACAGCAAGUCAGAAGGGUGGACAAGCCUUGUUUUAAAUCCCUCUGGUGCUCAUGUGUUCACCCCUACGACAUGCCGUUUGAGACUCUUAAUACCUGGAGCAGAUGCUUUGAUGUGUCAGCUUGGAAAGAAUGCCUCUUUGUCUCUUAGGACCAGUCAGGAUUGCGAGAGGAAAAAAAAAAAACUGCCCCAGCCUGUGGGAACACCAAAGUGAUGGCAAUUAUAAUUGGACUGACUAACUGACCUGGAGACAUUAAAUAUCUCGAAGCACUGUGAUGUGCGCUUACAAAAGCCAGACAGCCUCCAGGUAUGAACUUGCAUCAUGUCCAGAUCUUAAGGAGAAAGGCAGCCCUCCUGGCCGGUCCUGGCCAGGCACUAUGCAUAGCAAAGUGGGGACAAUGAGAGACUCCCCUGCAGACAGUCGGAAGACCUGAUUUUUGGUGGCCACUCAACAGGUCAGACUCCCCCAGGACGCCACUAGCAUUUGAACCUCACCCACGGCAGUUUGGAGAUGUGACCAUGAUUUGCACUGUAGGGUAGGGAAGGCCAAGUUCAGGCCCUCCCAGAGACCGAUCACCACUCCAUCCUGGGGAGUUGUUACACAGAAGAAAACACUCAGAAAACGCAUUGGAGGCCUCCAAAGAAGUCAGAUAUACUAUUGUUGUUUACGUAUUACAUCAUUCUAGAGAGCAUUUGAGGGAGUUUACAGACACCACGUAAAAUAGAACAAAGUUGAAAACAAAAUAAGAGAGAAUAUGGGGGGAAAUAGAGGUAAAAGGGAAAAAGCCUGAUGUGGUUAAUACCUCCUCAAAUACCGUGAGGUCCCGUGUCCUUGGACUAAGGCUUCCUCACAUCAGGCUCCAACUCCCUAACCUGUAGAGUGAAAGUGCAAAGAAAAGCACCCACGGCACUGACGACGUGCAAAAAAGCAGCAGGACCUUCAGAGAGGUGCAUCCAUUCCUGGCGCUGAGGGUCCCCAGGGGGAGAAUCGGAAGACACAGUGGAAUGUCAUGAAGUGUGGCCUCGACGCCAGCUCUGUGUUGCUUCGUGGGGAUGUUUCCUAGAACACCCCAGUGCAGGCUCAUGGACACAACAGUGCCUGGUCCACAAAGAGCAAUUAUGGAAGAAUCCAGAAUUGCCCCUGCUGAGCUGGCUUACUUCCACAAUAAGAACCUGAAGAGCUGACUUCUAAGGCCCCCUGGGCCCUUCCCCUCUGGAAAUCUAAAGUCAGUCUUUUCACCAGGUCUGGUGUCGCCUUCACUCCAUGCUUUGGGGAGUGAGCCCCUCGAUGUCCCAGCAAACCUGCAGAUGGUGGGGGGCAAGUUGAGGGGCACCACAGCCCCAUCCCCAGGCUGGGAGCAGUGGUGUCCCCACCACGAUCUGCUGGGCACAGAGCAGUCUCCUUUCUGAGAACGAGAACAGGCCAAGGAGCCAGAGGCCCAGACCAAGUGCUGGUCCUAAGCUCACCACUCACCGACUGUCACAGCUGAGGCAAGGCAACUCCUCUCUCUGGGCCUUAGUUCUGUCACCCGCAAAUGGAGAUGAACUAGCAUUUCGUCUGUGCCCUCCCUGAGGACUCCCUGAGCCCGCAGGCCUCUGCGAUGCAUGCAUGGCAAACUGAAGUGAGGCCAUAAGUGGAGUUGCAAGCUUUGGGAUCUGUGGUAGAAAUAGAAAUGUGCCACCUGGAUCCCCAGCCAGAGGAGGGCCCAGGGCCCAGCUGUGGUGAGUGGGGUCAGCAGACGGCCUCCAGCUGUCCGCUCUUUAAAGUUGGCACCAGCCAAAGACAGCCAUCUCUCUCAAGGUCAUGCCCUUCCCCGGGACAGCCCACACUGUGGACCCAACAAGGCAGAGGAAAGAAGGCACUGGAAUUUUGUCUCAAUGCUGGGCAUUCUGACAGGUAAGUUUUGCUCCAAAGCUCCCCAUAGGAUUGGCUGAGAUUUGUGGAGUCUGCAUUUCCGUUAGACUUCCUUCUGGAAGCCUGCUUCUUCCCCUGCCUCUCCUGGGUGUUGGUCCCAAACUCUGUCUCCACAUCUGCCUCUGAAGAACCCAUCCACAACAGCAUCCAAGCACCCACAGCGCCCAGACUGGCCAGACACCAGGCCUUCAGAACAGAAGCUUGGGCUUCUAUGGACCCAAGAGUGAAAGAGAGAACUGGUGUGGAAUGUGUGUUAGCAUGUGCAGCCAUUGCUACAGCUCAGGGGUGGUCAUCUCCUGGGAACCCCACCCACCUGAAAGGCUGGACCCCCUUCUCCCCAGACCAGCCCCUUCUGCACUUGGCUUUUUCAGCAGGUGCCGCCAGCUUUGCAAUGGCUCAGCCUCAAGAAUCCCGUCUUCUCCAAUUCUCUUUCUCUUCUGCUCCCACAUCCAAACAAGUACUGAAACCUCCACCUUUUGCAUUGCCUCUGCCAUCACCUGCCCCUCCCGCGAGCGCCAGCUCCCCCUGGGGCCAUUGCAGUAGCCUCCUGCAAAACCCCCUCUCGAGUUCACCCCUCCUUUCUGUCCGAUGGCUAGCAGCCCACCUCUUGUGGGCUCCUAUCACUGCGAGGCCUCCCCUGCUCCCCAGCGUGGCUCUGUAGGAGGAAGAGAGUGUUGGGUGUGUUGAAAUCACACCAGUCCCUCACACCUGUUUCCCCCGAAGUCACUGGGAAGUGUUUGUUGCUGUUUGUCACAAAUACCCACACACAAACAAAGGUGGUAAAACAAUGUGAGGUGGAUGAGACAUCUCUGUUUCUAUCUG